rnacentral:misc_RNA from 1 species
CCAGCUUGUUUGAAUUAUAAUUGGGAUCUUUUUUGUGCUUGACAAGUGCAUCGCCAUAGCUACUUUCCAGCUCUUGAACAUGGGUUGGAUCUACAUGGUAAAAAACUGGUGAGAUUAUUUGUUUCAUCUCUUUGGAGCAUUCAAGUAUUUUGACCAGCUCGUCCAAACACCAUGAAGAGUAUGCAUAAUUCGCUGAAAAAAUGAC